rnacentral:tRNA from 1 species
GAGGGUGAUGGUGUAAUUGGCAGCACAGCGCCGAGGAGGCGCCGGUGUCGGUUCGAAUCCGGCUCAUCCGCGC